GGAGUCUGUGCUGUGAAGAUCUGCAGCCAUAAGAAAACACCAAACCAAGUCUCAGCCUAUCUGAAGUGUUUGGUGCAAGCUGUGGAUCAGACUAAGGAAAUGAAAGAAAUGGGCUGGGAAGAGCAGUGCAGGCUGAGCACUGGGCUUCCCUUGCAGCUCACCAGCCUUGUGGCAUGGCAGCGUUCGACUUCUAUCGCUGAAGAUUUCAUGGAGCAGAAGCCAGGCUUUAACUGAGUCUCAUAUUCAAGCUCUUCCAAACUGGAGGAGAAUCUGUUCUGGUCUUUGAAGUGUCUGGAAAAGUCACUCUGUGUGGAAUUCACUACCAUAUCUUAUCUUCAGUCUCCCUCUGUCUGUUUUGCACACCUACCAGCUGCUGUGCCUUCAUUUAUUUCAUGCCCCAAAGCCACCAUUUCUCCCUCUG